rnacentral:rRNA from 1 species
CUGCCAGUAGUCAUAUGCU